UCGACCCAACUAGCGGAGGCAGAGCCUCGUAUUUUGAACAUGGACGUUUGUUUCGGUUAUUUAACAAACAAACUGGGGCCAAGGGGUGUAGCGCAUGUGACGCCCCCUCGGGCAUAAUCUUCGUUCGCCCGCCAGGCUCUAUGGCGUGCUAAACGUAAUAAACACUGACGAGCACAGCUGCUCGGCGAUCAGUCAAAGUUAAGCGCCACCACGCUGCGGAGCGUCCGUCUAACGGAGGGUGCCUCAAGCCCUCCCUUGUUCACGAACCCGGGUGGAUCGUGACAGCUCACUCCCAUAUCUAUUUCCUUUGCAGGAUUUGAUGCUGUUGACAUGCCUGCGUACUCCUUUCGUGAGCAGGAUUGUGCUGCAUCUUGUGGCAUUGAUGCCCCUGUGGAACGUGGCCUCAUCGGGGGACAUUGUGCUACGUCCAGUGGAUGUCUCUACGGGUGCUCCUCGGAGAUAAAGAAACCGAACUUCUCCUGGCCUUCAAUGAUGACGGACUUCCCAUCGUAGUAAAAGGCCACCCGAAGGCGAGCAAGUUCGAGUCGUUAGUGAAGCGACAGAAGCUGCAGUCCCAUCCCGGGUCCCUCAAAGGAAAGGGCAGAGGAGACGUGGCCCCAGGCCAAAGUUUUAUUUCUUAUUGACCUUUACAACAAAAUAUCAAUCAGAACUGAGAAAUAGGAAGAAGUCAAAACGGCAGGUAUUGGAGAUGCUGGCCGACGCAAUUACUCAAAGGUUUAAUUGCGACAUGGUUUCCUCGCAAAAAUGAAAUAACUGGAGAGAGCCGGAAAAAGUACAGGCUAGUAAGGCAACACAAAAGUGCCUGGCAGUGACCGCAUUACCUGCGACUGAAGAGCGAGAAAAAUUUUUGAAACCAAGCCUUCCCUGCAUGGUAAUUCAACUUAAUUCGAAAUAAUGCUUUCGCAUGGCUGGGGGUUCAAGCUAUAUAUUUUGCAUGGUGAAAAAACUGUUUCUCUGUGUCCUUUUUUAGCUACUUAAUUGGAGCUUAAAAGGAUAAACGACUUCGUAAAUCAGCAAAUGGUCCAGAUUUCAGCUUAAUGCCAGGGAGUCCACCGUUGUAUAGCCAUGAACUUAUUAUUUAUGAAGGUACUUGCUGAAAAGCAGUGUGCCAAUUAAAAGCUUGCACAAAAUUAGCCUUGAUUUUGGUUUUUCAAGCAGCUGGUUGAGGUCUUCGAGAUUAUGCACUCGUUUAAUUCUGUCUAAGUCGCGGCGGCAGGACGUCCACAAGUAUUAAGGCAAGUUACACUUCUUCUUAUAGAAAUACAUUGUGUGCAUACCAUCAAUAAUCACCUUCCAUGCCUAAAUAGCACCUCUUCCUUAUUGUAAUUAAAUGAUGGAGGUAAUAUUAUUAUUACCGCUUGCUAGUUGUUCAGUGCAGAAUGCUCUUUAUCUUGUAAAACAGUUGAACUUAGGGGACAAUAUUUUGCCACCAGUGCCCAGUCAUCUGCCUCAAGCCCCCAGUAGCCAGCUGUGGGGUCCCCAGGCAACAAGUAGGGGCAGCAUUGCAGAAGACGUGAUAGAGCUGGACCCAGAUUGUGCAUCACCACUGUCCAGGACAGCAGCAUAGUCCAGGACAGCAGGAUAGUCCAGCACAGCAGCUGAGUCCAGCCCAGCAACCACCACAGGGCCCUUCAGCAAGACGACCCUGACAGGACCCAAACCGGGAGCUUUCAGAAGGCUUUCCGAGUUACCUAAAGCAGGCAGAAGAAAACGGAGAACGGCGCCACAAAAAGUGCAUGAGGCUUGAGCAGGAGGCGCUGGCUGUCUUAAAGCAGGUGGCAGAUAUACAGCAGCAUCAGCCUGCUCCCGAUGAUGUGUAGCUUUUUUGUAAUAUUUAAAUUGUGCUUCAUUUUAUUUAUUUUAUCAUGUUUUUAUUCGUAUGAAUUGUUUUUCAAUUUCUUACAUAUGCCGUUCUUUUCUGCGUUUAAUUGCCAUUGCCUAGCAUUUCCUUAAGACUUCAGUUGUAAUGUUUAUUUUAUUUCAUCAAACCUUUUGUUCUCUUUCAUUCUUCUGCGCCCUUUGUGUUGUCUAGCUUUUCCUCCAUAUUUAAAUUACAAUGUUCAUUUUGUUAGUUGCAUUCUGCUUUUUAUUCAUAUAAACUGUUCCUUUUCACUUAUAUCCUUUUGAUGAUGUGUAGUGUUUUGUGGCGCAAGGGCCAGGCUUGGCCAAAGAGCGCCAUGACAAGUGGUGA